GGAGAAGACAAAGGGGACCCUGGCGUGAGAAAGGACUCCGAGACCCUUAUCUCUGCUGGUCAAAUGUAGCAGAUCCAGAGAACGGUGCUCAGGAUCCAGAACCACUAGAUGGAAGAAGUCUGGUUCCUGAGUCAGUGUGUGCAAGGUUGCCUCUCAGACAUCCAAGCUUCCUUCCGAGCACUGAGGAAGAAGAGAUGAUCUGGACCAAGACCUCCUGCACAGAGUUUCCUUCCCAGUUAGGAAAUAGACACAAGGAAGACAUGGCAUCAUACCACGGUAUGCGGUGUAAACAAAUUUAAACAGAGAAUGACAGGUGUGACUUGAGCCUAGGGAGUAAACGAGAUUUUAAGUAAGGAUGUGCAUGGAAAGCUUAUCUGAGGAGGUGACAUGGGAGCCAAGACCUGAAGAAAGCGCAAGAGGGUGGGGGCAGAAGGGGUAGUAAG